rfam:Taeniopygia guttata chromosome 5, whole genome shotgun sequence.
UUAAAGGUUUUUCUAGAAACCAACCCAUGUAUUACAAAAACAAUAC